rnacentral:rRNA from 1 species
GAUGAACGCUGGCGGCGUGCCUAAUACAUGCAAGUCGAGCGAACGGACGAGAAGCUUGCUUCUCUGAUGUUAGCGGCGGACGGGUGAGUAACACGUGGAUAACCUACCUAUAAGACUGGGAUAACUUCGGGAAACCGGAGCUAAUACCGGAUAAUAUUUUGAACCGCAUGGUUCAAAAGUGAAAGACGGUCUUGCUGUCACUUAUAGAUGGAUCCGCGCUGCAUUAGCUAGUUGGUAAGGUAACGGCUUACCAAGGCAACGAUGCAUAGCCGACCUGAGAGGGUGAUCGGCCACACGGGAACUGAGACACGGUCCAGACUCCUACGGGAGGCAGCAGUAGGGAAUCUGCCGCAAUGGGCGAAAGCCUGACGGAGCAACGCCGCGUGAGUGAUGAAGGUCUUCGGAGCGUAAAACUCUGUUAUUAGGGAAGAACAGAUGUGUAAGUAACUGUGCACAUCUUGACGGUACCUAAUCAGAAAGCCACGGCUAACUACGUG